rnacentral:lncRNA from 1 species
UCAUAGGAGGGGGCAGAACUUAGAGUCUAAAAGUAAGUGUAAGUGAAGUAGAGGGGGGAUUAGCGAAGAGCCAUGACAAACUAGUGGUCAUGCCCAGCAAUUGGGAUGUUGGCACACCCCUGACCAGCCUGUCAGCUUAAAUUGGGAGUUAGGACCUAUUGAAGAUCAGGUUCAGUCCUGGGUAGUAAUUUAGAUGCUGCUAGGCCAAAACCAAUAACUCAGAUACAUAGAGGGGAAUAGGGGGAUAGGGAUUCAUAAUAGAAGCAAGAUACAAGGAAAGAAACGCACAUAAUUUAACUACUGAACAUGAACAGCAAAGUGGGAAAGAGUACUGAAUCUAUAAGUCAACCACAUAGGGAUGAGGCAAAAAAUUAAAUCAAACAUGCC